rnacentral:rRNA from 1 species
AACCCUUGUCAUUAGUUGCCAUCAUUUAGUUGGGCACUCUAAUGAGACUGCCGGUGACAAACCGGAGGAAGGUGGGGAUGACGUCAAGUCCUCAUGGCCCUUAUGGGUAGGGCUUCACACGUCAUACAAUGGUCGGUACAGAGGGUUGCCAAGCCGCGAGGUGGAGCCAAUCCCUUAAAGCCGAUCGUAGUCCGGAUCGUAGUCUGCAACUCGACUACGUGAAGUCGGAAUCGCUAGUAAUCGCAGAUCAGCAUGCUGCGGUGAAUACGUUCCCGGGUCUU